UUCCACUUGUUUAUAGAUAAGUGGUAUUACCUGCCCUAUGCUUUUUCUAAGUAAAUGGCCGCAGUAUACUUAACUGUGCUAAGGUAGCAUAAUUACUUGUCAUUUAAUUAAUGUCUUGUUUGAAUGGUUUUUCGAGAUUAGAUUUUUUUUAACUUUUUUUUGAAUUUUUAAUUUUAAGUAAAAAUACUUAAAUUAAAAAGAAAGACGAGAAGACCCUAAGAGCUUUUUAUACUAGCUUAAAAGUAUAUUAGAUGGGGCAUUAGAGAUUAUUUUAAUCUUUUUUAGAACUUUUUUGAAUAAAAGGUAAAGUUACCCUAGGGAUAACAGGGUAAUUCUUUUUGAAAGUUCUUAUUUAGAAAAGAGUUUGCUACCUCGAUGUUGAAUCAAAAUUACUUUGUGGUUGCAGGGGCUAUAAGAGUGUGUCUGUUCGACACUUUAAAUUUUACG
rnacentral:rRNA from 1 species